CCUACGGGAGGCUGCAGUGAGGAAUAUUGGUCAAUGGACGAGAGUCUGAACCAGCCAAGUAGCGUGAAGGAUGACUGCCCUAUGGGUUGUAAACUUCUUUUAUAUGGGAAUAAAACGUUCCACGUGUGGGAUUUUGUAUGUACCAUAUGAAUAAGGAUCGGCUAACUCCGUGCCAGCAGCCGCGGUAAUACGGAGGAUCCGAGCGUUAUCCGGAUUUAUUGGGUUUAAAGGGAGCGUAGGUUGAUUGUUAAGUCAGUUGUGAAAGUUUGCGGCUCAACCGUAAAAUUGCAGUUGAAACUGGCAGUCUUGAGUACAGUAGAGGUGGGCGGAAGUCGUGGUGUAGCGGUGAAAUGCUUAGAUAUCACGAAGAACUCCGAUUGCGAAGGCAGUUCACUGGACUGCAACUGACACUGAGGCUCGAAAGUGUGGGUAUCAAACAGGAUUAGAUACCCUUGUAGUC
rnacentral:rRNA from 1 species